UACAGAGGUCUCAAGCGUUGUUCGGAUUCAUUGGGCGUAAAGGGUGUGUAGGUGGCGCGCUAAGUCGGGUGUGAAAUUUCGGAGCUUAACUCCGAAACUGCAUUCGAUACUGGCGUGCUUGAGGACUGGAGAGGAGACUGGAAUUUACGGUGUAGCAGUGAAAUGCGUAGAUAUCGUAAGGAAGACCAGUGGCGAAGGCGGGUCUCUGGACAGUUCCUGACGCUGAGGCACGAAAGCCAGGGGAGCAAACGGG
rnacentral:rRNA from 1 species